GAUGAACGCUGGCGGCGUGCUUAACACAUGCAAGUCGAACGGGAUCUCAGGAGCUUGCUCCUGGGUGAGAGUGGCGAACGGGUGAGUAAUGCGUGACCGACCUGCCCCAUACACCGGAAUAGCUCCUGGAAACGGGUGGUAAUGCCGGAUGCUCCGACUCCUCGCAUGGGGUGUCGGGAAAGAUUUCAUCGGUAUGGGAUGGGGUCGCGUCCUAUCAGGUAGUCGGCGGGGUAACGGCCCACCGAGCCUACGACGGGUAGCCGGCCUGAGAGGGCGACCGGCCACAUUGGGACUGAGAUACGGCCCAGACUCCUACGGGAGGCAGCAGUGGGGAAUAUUGCACAAUGGGCGCAAGCCUGAUGCAGCGACGCCGCGUGCGGGAUGACGGCCUUCGGGUUGUAAACCGCUUUUGAUCGGGAGCAAGCCUUCGGGUGAGUGUACCUUUCGAAUAAGCACCGGCUAACUACGUGCCAGCAGCCGCGGAAAUACGUAGGGUGCAAGCGUUAUCCGGAAUUAUUGGGCGUAAAGGGCUCGUAGGCGGUUCGUCGCGUCCGGUGUGAAAGUCCAUCGCUUAACGGUGGAUCUGCGCCGGGUACGGGCGGGCUGGAGUGCGGUAGGGGAGACUGGAAUUCCCGGUGUAACGGUGGAAUGUGUAGAUAUCGGGAAGAACACCAAUGGCGAAGGCAGGUCUCUGGGCCGUUACUGACGCUGAGGAGCGAAAGCGUGGGGAGCGAACAGAAAGAGAUACCCUGGUAGUCCACGCCGUAAACGGC
rnacentral:rRNA from 1 species